rnacentral:rRNA from 1 species
UGAAUACGAGAUGCUAAGGCGUCGAAGUAGUGUAUGUCAUACUUCCAAGAAAAGCUUGCACUGUCAUAAAUAGAAAAUGCCUGUACCAUAACCGACACAGGUGGGUAAGUAGAGUAUACUAAGGGGCGCGAGAUAACUCUCUCUAAGGAACUCGGCAAAAUAACUCCGUAACUUCGGGAGAAGGAGUGCCUUAUUCUUAAGGUUGCAAUAACAAGAUCCAAGCAACUGUUUAUCAAAAACACAGGUCUCCGCUAAGUCGUAAGACGAUGUAUGGGGGCUGACGCCUGCCCAGUGCCAGAAGGUUAAAGAAGUUGGUUAGCAAUUGCGAAGCUGGUAACUGAAGCCCUGGUGAACGGCGGCCGUAACAAUAACGGUCCUAAGGUAGCGAAAUUCCUUGUCGGGUAAGUUCCGACCCGCACGAAAGGCGUAAUGAUUUGGAUGCUGUCUCGGAGAGGGGCUCGGUGAAAUAGACUUGUCUGUGAAGAUGCGGACUACCUGCACCAGGACAGAAAGACCCUAUGAAGCUUUACUGUAACUUGAAAUUGAAAUUGGACUUUAUUUGCGCAGUAUAGGUGGGAGGCGUUGAUUAUAAUCUUGCGGGAUUAUUGGAGCCAUCAGUGAGAUACCACUCUUGUAAUGUUAGAUUUCUAACUUUGAAUCAUUAUCUGGUCAAAGGACAAUUUCAGGCGGGCAGUUUGACUGGGGCGGUCGCCUCCUAAAUGGUAACGGAGGCGUACAAAGGUUUCCUCUGAACGGUUAGAAAUCGUAUCUAGAGUGUAAAGGCAUAAGGAAGCUUGACUGUGAGACCUACAAGUCGAGCAGGGACGAAAGUCGGUCUUAGUGAUCUGACGGUACUGAGUGGAAAGGCCGUCACUCAACGGAUAAAAGUUACUCUAGGAUAACAGGCUGAUCUCCCCCAAGAGUUCACAUCGACGGGGAGGUUUGGCACCUCGAUGUCGGCUCAUCGCAUCCUGGGGCGGUAGUACGUCCCAAGGGUUGGGCUGUUCGCCCAUGAAAGCGGUACGCGAGCUGGGUUCAGAACGUCGUGAGACAGUUCGGUCCAUAUCCGGUGUAGGCGUUAGAAUAUUGAGAGGAGCCUUCUUUAGUACGAGAGGACCGAGAAGGACAUACCUCUGGUGUACCAGUUAUCGUGCCAACGGUAAACGCUGGGUAGCUAUGUAUGGAGUGGAUAACCGCUGAAAGCAUCUAAGUGAGAAGCCCACCUCAAGAUAAG